UACGGGGGGGGUAAGCGUUGUUCGGAAUUACUGGGCGUAAAGGGCGCGUAGGCGGUUUGCUAAGUUGAAUGUGAAAACUCUGGGCUUAACCCAGAGCCUGCAUUCAAUACUGGCAGGCUAGAGUUCUGGAGGGGAUAGCGGAAUUCCUGGUGUAGCGGUGAAAUGCGUAGAUAUCAGGAGGAACACCGGUGGCGAAGGCGGCUAUCUGGACAGAGUCU
rnacentral:rRNA from 1 species